AGAGCGGAACGCUGGCGGCAUGCUUAACACAUGCAAGUCGCACGGGCAGGGGAAACCCUGUCAGUGGCGGACGGGUGAGUAACGCGUAGGUAUCUAUCCUUGGGUGGGGGACAACCGUGGGAAACUACGGCUAAUACCGCAUGAUGACUGAGGUCCAAAGCUUGUGAGAGCGCCUGGGGCGGAGCCUGCGUACGAUUAGCUAGUUGGUGGGGUAAAGGCCUACCAAGGCUGCGAUCGUUAGCUGGUCUGAGAGGAUGAUCAGCCACAUUGGGACUGAGACACGGCCCAAGCUCCUACGGGAGGCAGCAGUGGGGAAUAUUGGACAAUGGGCGCAAGCCUGAUCCAGCAAUGCCGCGUGUGUGAAGAAGGUCUUCGGAUUGUAAAGCACUUUCGACGGGGACGAUGAUGACGGUACCCGUAGAAGAAGCCCCGGCUAACUUCGUGCCAGCAGCCGC
rnacentral:rRNA from 1 species